AUGCCUGCCUCCAUCUCCUCUGCAAUCCAGGUCGCCAGCGUGCGCACACAUGUUCCCGUGACGCUCGACCUGCAGGCGUCCAACUUCACCAAGUGGCGGAUGCUCGUCCGCGUCCUCCUUGGCAAGUACGAUUUUCUUCCUCACGUCAACACCGUCACUGCCGCGGUGGACCGCACGCCGGAUUGGACUCGCGAGGACUACGUCGUCCGGUCAUGGCUCUACGGGUCAAUCUCCGACGAGAUCCUCGACAUCAUCAUGGCCGAGGACCAGACGGCGCAGGAGGCAUGGACGCUCAUCACCAACCUCUUCCUCGACAAUCAUAUGACCCGUGCCGUCUACCUCGAGGCGGAGUUCCGUGGUCUUGUGCAAGGCGACCUCUCUGUCACCGCCUACUGCCAUCACCUCAAGGCUCUGUCGGAUGCCCUCGGCGACGUCGGCACCCCCGUCUCCGACCAGACCCUUGUCCUCAACUGCCUCCAUGGACUCAACCCGCGCUUCUCCGACAUCACCACCAUUGUCACCAUGCAGAGCCCCCUGCCGUCGUUCACCCAGACGCGCUCCCUUCUCACUCUGCGUGAGACCCAGCUUACGAACUCCUCGGCAGUGGGCAACCAGACCGCCCUCUACAGCGGUGGCCCGUCCCACGGCGCUGGCGGCUCCCAUGGCGCUGGCGGCCACCAUGGCUCUGGUAGCUCCAACUCCUCUGGUCAGUACCAUGGUGAUGCUAACCGGAACAACUCCGGCGGCAACCGCAAUGGUGGCAAUUGGCACAAGAAGAAGAACGGAAACAACAACAACAACAACAACAAUGGCGGCUCUUCUAGCGGUUACCGACCCGGCGUCGCUCCCUCCUCUGUUGGCCCGUGGGUUUGCUUCAACCCUCUCACGGGUCAGCAGCUGCAGGCGUCCCCAAUGGCUAGGCAGAACACCGGGGCCGGCCUCCUACGCCCACGACCCCCGGCGCUCCCGCUGGCGCAAGCUUUCACCUCGCUGGCUCCUCUCCAUGGACAAGCGUUCGGCACCAACCCACCGCCGAUUCCCGGCUAUGGCGGCGCUCCAUCUCGGGACUGCACCGCGUUGAUGGCCGCCAUCAACAACGCCGCCACCCCUCGACCGUUGGCGAGUGGGUCAUGGAUUCCGGCUCCACGGCACAUAUGGCCUCCGACCCCGGUAUGCUCCACCACCUAG
rnacentral:rRNA from 1 species